GUUUAGUGGCAUGGGAUGGGGUCGCGUCCUAUCAGCUUGUAGCGGGGUAAUGGCCCACCCUAGGCUUUCGACGGGUAGCCGGCCUGAGAGGGCGGACGGCCACAUUGGGACUGAGAUACGGCCCAGACUCCUACGGGAGGCAGCAGUGGGGAAUAUUGCGCAAUGGGGGAAACCCUGACGCAGCGACGCCGCGUGCGGGAUGAAGGCCUUCGGGUUGCAAACCGCUUUUGAUUGGGAGCAAGCCUUUUGGGUGAGUGUACCUUUCGAAUAAGCGCCGGGCUAACUACGUGCCAGCAGCCGCGGUAAAU
rnacentral:rRNA from 1 species